rnacentral:rRNA from 1 species
UACGAGGGGGGCAAGCGUUGUUCGGAAUUAUUGGGCGUAAAGGGCGCGUAGGCGGUGCGGUAAGUCACCUGUGAAAACUCUGGGCUCAACUCAGAGCCUGCAGGCGAAACUGCCGUGCUUGAGUGUGGGAGAGGUGCGUGGAAUUCCCGGUGUAGCGGUGAAAUGCGUAGAUAUCAGGAGGAAUACCGAUGGCGAAGGCAGGUCUCUGGGCUGACACUGACGCUCAUGCACGAAAGCGUGGGGAGCAAACAGG